rnacentral:rRNA from 1 species
GACGAACGCUGGCGGCGUGCCUAAUACAUGCAAGUUGAGCGCUGAAGGUUGGUACUUGUACCAACUGGAUGAGCAGCGAACGGGUGAGUAACGCGUGGGGAAUCUGCCUUUGAGCGGGGGACAACAUUUGGAAACGAAUGCUAAUACCGCAUAAAAACUUUAAACACAAGUUUUAAGUUUGAAAGAUGCAAUUGCAUCACUCAAAGAUGAUCCCGCGUUGUAUUAGCUAGUUGGUGAGGUAAAGGCUCACCAAGGCGAUGAUACAUAGCCGACCUGAGAGGGUGAUCGGCCACAUUGGGACUGAGACACGGCCCAAACUCCUACGGGAGGCAGCAGUAGGGAAUCUUCGGCAAUGGACGAAGGUCUGACCGAGCAACGCCGCGUGAGUGAAGAAGGUUGUCGGAUCGUAAAACUCUGUUGGUAGAGAAGAACGUUGGUGAGAGUGGAAAGCUCAUCAAGUGACGGUAACUACCCAGAAAGGGACGGCUAACUACGUG